UAUAAAUUUACUUUAUGGAACCAAAGCUAGUUCUUUUAUGGAAUGCCGUACGUCACAAAUUACGUCAUCAUGCGACUUAGAAAGCAGAAAGAAAGAAAGAAAGAGCAGAAUGUUUUCAACUCCAUAUUUUCUGUAUAAUUUGCUGGUUAUAAGCAGAUCUAUGCACGGCACUCCAUUAUACCACACUGAUAGCUUCUCAAAGAUUAUAAAUAUGAUACAUGUAAGCAGGCACAGUUACUUGUCAUCACAAGGAUCAGAUUUCAAGUACCAGAGAGUCCUAACUCCUAAUUUUCCCAAUUUGUCAAAAGUACAUCUAGUGACACAAGAGAAGAAUGUGGAGUAAAUGCCAAUAAAGGCUCGACUGCAGGGGUAUACCUGACUUCUCGGCAAUUUCUGGUUAUCACCAUCCGAAUGACCGAUUCAGAGGAGAAGACCAACUUCAAGGUGACUCUUAUGCAUUGAGAUCUUUCGCUGAUGGACUCAAAUUGUUCAGGAAAAAAUCCAGCUACCACAGCCACAGAUUUCUGGCGUGUGUUCAGAAGGAACAUAGAUGCAAUGAUGAAACAAUCUCCAGACAGAUGGGUGGCCCUUGAGCAGAGAAUGUUAAAAAGAAUUGAAGCAUUCAAUAAAGAAGAUUAAGAAACAGAAUGUGUCCAGUUGUUUGUUCAUCAAAAGAAUAACUUGGAUAAUCAUAGUGGUGCUUCCUCAAAAUCUGCAUGUGUUAAAAUUAAGCAGUUUCAAAUUAAGAUUUAGAUAAAGCUCAUUAAGUCAUUUGCUGGAUCAGAUUUUGAGAUUGUACUUAUUGCAUUUUUUUGAAUACAGUAACAGUGAAACGUUGAUGAUUAGUUGUACAAAUUCAUAUACAGAUCUAAGUAUUA